AGAGUUUGAUCCUGGCUCAGGAUAAACGCUGGCGGCGUGCCUAACACAUGCAAGUCGAACGACCUGCGGCUCGCAAGAGUAGCAGGUAGUGGCGGACGGGUGAGUAACACAUGGGUGACCUACCCCGCAGUGAGGGAUACCGGCGCGAAAGCGCCGACAAGCCCGCAUGCGCUCGUUGUGCGCGAGCAGAGCGAGCAAAGGCUCUGGGUGGCUUGCAAAAGCCAGGCAGAGCCGCUGGGGGAUGGGCCUGUGGCCGAUUAGCUGGUUGGUGGGGUAAGAGCCUACCAAGGCUGCGAUCGGUAGCUGGUCUGAGAGGACGAUCAGCCACACUGGGAUUGAGAACGGCCCAGACUCCUACGGGGGGCAGCAGUGAGGAAUUUUCCGCAAUGGAGGCAACUCUGACGGAGCAACGCCGCGUGCAGGAAGACGCUUCUCGGAGUGUAAACUGCUUUUCUGUGGGACGAGUUAAGGACGGUACCACAGGAAGAAGCCCCGGCUAACUACGUGCCAGCAGCCGCGGUAAUACGUAGGGUGCGAGCGUUAAUCGGAAUUACUGGGCGUAAAGCGUGCGUAGGCGGUCCCCCAAGUCCGCUGUGAAAGCCCCGGGCUUAACCUGGGAAUGGCAGUGGAAACUAUGGGACUUGAAUCUGGCAGAGGGGGGUGGAAUGCCACGUGUAGCAGUGAAAUGCGUAGAGAUGUGGCGGAACACCGAUGGCGAAGGCAGCCCCCUGGGCUGAGAUUGACGCUCAGGCACGAAAGCGUGGGGAGCAAACAGGAUUAGAUACCCUGGUAGUCCACGCCCUAAACGAUGACAACUAGGUGUUGGGGAAGCGAUUUCUCAGUACCGCAGCUAACGCGUGAAGUUGUCCGCCUGGGGAGUACGGUCGCAAGACUAAAACUCAAAGGAAUUGACGGGGACCCGCACAAGCGGUGGAUGAUGUGGAUUAAUUCGAUGCAACGCGAAGAACCUUACCUACCCUUGACAUGUACGGAAGCCCGCUGAGAGGCGGGUGUGCCCGAAAGGGAGCCGUAACGCAGGUGCUGCAUGGCUGUCGUCAGCUCGUGUCGUGAGAUGUUGGGUUAAGUCCCGCAACGAGCGCAACCCUUGUCCCUAGUUGCUACGCAAGGGCACUCUAGGGAGACUGCCGGUGACAAACCGGAGGAAGGUGGGGAUGACGUCAAGUCCUCAUGGCCCUUAUGGGUAGGGCCUCACACGUCAUACAAUGGCCGGUACAGAGGGUUGCGAAGCCGCGAGGUGGAGCCAAUCCCAGAAAGCCGGUCGUAGUCCGGAUUGCAGUCUGCAACUCGACUGCAUGAAGUCGGAAUCGCUAGUAAUCGCGGAUCAGCAUGUCGCGGUGAAUACGUUCCCGGGUCUUGUACACACCGCCCGUCACACCAUGGGAGUGGGGUGCACCGGAAGUAGGUAGGCUAACCGCAAGGAGGCCGCUUACCACGGUACACUUCAUGACUGGGGUGAAGUCGUAACAAGGUAACCGU
rnacentral:rRNA from 1 species